ensembl:lncRNA
UGUGGAGGUUAUAUACAGGGGGUACCUGUACAGAGACAAUGUGGAGGUUAUAUACAGGGGGUACCAGUACAGAGACAAUGUGGAGGCUAUAUACAGGGGGUACCUGUACAGAGACAAUGUGGAGGUUAUAUACAGGGGGUACCAGUACAGAGACAAUGUGGAGGUUAUAUACAGGGGGUACCAGUACAGAGUCAAUGUGGAGGUUAUAUACAGGGGGUACCAGUACAGAGACAAUGUGGAGGCUAUAUACAGGGGGUACCGGUACAGAGUCAAUGUGGAGGUUAUAUACAGGGGGUACCGGUACAGAGACAAUGUGGAGGCUAUAUACAGGGGGUACCAGUACAGAGACAAUGUGGAGGCUAUAUACAGGGGGUACCAGUACAGAGUCAAUGUGGAGGCUAUAUACAGGGGGUACCGGUACAGAGACAAUGUGGAGGUUAUAUACAGGGGGUACCAGUACAGAGACAAUGUGGAGGCUAUAUACAGGGGGUACCAGUACAGAGACAAUGUGGAGGCUAUAUACAGGGGGUACCAGUACAGAGACAAUGUGGAGGCUAUAUACAGGGGGUACCGGUACAGAGACAAUGUGUGGGGGCACCGGUUAGUUGAGGUAAUUGAAAUAAUAUGUACAUGUAGGUAGAGUUAAAGUGAUAGAUAAUUAACAGAGAGUAGCAGCAGCGUAAAAGAGGGGGGAAGG